CGGGGCUUAAUGUCUUGUAAUUGGAAUGAUGGGAAUUUAAACCUCUUCCAGAGUAUCAAUUGGAGGGCAAGUCUGGUGCCAGCAGCCGCGGUAAUUCCAGCUCCAAUAGCGUAUAUUAAAAUUGUUGCAGUUAAAAAGCUCGUAGUUGAAUUUCUGCUACAUUGCCUAUUCUCCUUUACGAGUUUGGGUCUUUUGUGGCUUAUCUGGGUUCGCUUGCGUUCCCGGUGUUUUACUUUGAGAAAAUUAGAGUGCUCAAAGCAGGCUAUUGCCUUGAAUAGUUUAGCAUGGAAUAAUAAAGUAGGACUUUGGUUCUAUUUUGUUGGUUUUAGGUACCAAAGUAAUGGUUAAUAGGAACAGUUGGGGGCAUUCGUAUUUAACUGUCAGAGGUGAAAUUCUUAGAUUUGUUAAAGACGAACUACUGCGAAAGCAUUUGCCAAGGAUGUUUUCAUUAAUCAAGAAC
rnacentral:rRNA from 1 species